GCAGUUGCUCAGUGGUAGAACAUCUGCUUUGCAUGCAGAAGGUCUCAGGUUUGAUCGCUGGCAUCUCCA